rnacentral:rRNA from 1 species
CCUACGGGUGGCAGCAGUGGGGGAUAUUGCACAAUGGGGGAAACCCUGAUGCAGCGACGCCGCGUGGGUGAAGAAGGGCCUCGGCGCGGAAAGCCCUGUCAGCAGGGAAGAAAAUGACGGUACCUGAAGAAGAAGCCGCGGCUAACUACGUGCCAGCAGCCGCGGGAAUACGUAGGGGGCAAGAGUUAUCCGGAUUUACUGGGUGUAAAGGGGGCGCCGACGGCGCGGCAAGCCAGGGGUGAAAGCCCGGGGCCCAACCCCGGGACUGCUCUUGGAACUGCGUGGCUAGAGUGCAGUAUGGGCAGGCGGCAUUCCUGGUGUAGCGGUGAAAUGCGUAGAUAUCAGGAGGAACCCCGGUGGCGAAGGCGGCCUGCUGGACUGCAACUGACGUUGAGGCCCGAAAGCGUGGGGAGCAAACAGGAUUAGAUACCCGUGUAGUC